UCCAAUCAAGCCCCCGGGUGAGAGAACCUGCAGUGCAAUGGUCAGGGGCAUUCCCGUCUUUUAGCAUGUUUUGUGGUGGGGACACGACACUAUUUGGUUAUUUACCAAAUUACUAAUAUGGGUUUUCUGACUUUUGAACUAUUCCAUUUGUGUCCCCAAAUUUUGGGCUGGUUUUGUCCUUUAGCUGCUGGUAUUUCUAAUUUUCAGUAGAGGUUUUUUCGUCUUUUCGCUCAAACCUGCAGGAGAUAGCUGUUUGUGUCUCUUUCACCGUUUGUUUGCUUCUCUCUCUCUCUGUCUCUCCCUCCCGAUCCAUCUGCAGCCUGCAGGCAAACGACUCAAUGUCCCCCGACUCUCUCUUUCUCUGUCGAUCUCAAACCGAAGGCACUCGAUCUCCACUAACUUCCUAUUCAUCAUCCCCAUCGUCAUCGUCUUCAUUGAUCGGUUUGGCUUUUCUGUUUUCCCCGAUUAAAUUGAAUACCAGGUGUUCGUUUCUAUAGCUGAUUGUUUUGCAUACUUGUGGUUGCUAAAAUGGUUUCGGAUUAGGGUUUUGAUGGCUUUGAGAUCCGUUAUUUUACAGCUCAAAACGCAAAGUCUCUGGUUUGGAUUUAGGUUUAUGUAUUGUGUUUUUUGGGUCUGGGUUUUGCCUCUCUCUUCAGUGUCUCGUCCGAUUUGGUACGAUUUAGUCAUUGUUCGUUAUUAUUAUUCUUUGUGCUCUUUUUUGUGUCUGGUUUUUGAUUUUCUAAAAUACUUCUGGUUGGAAAAAGGGUUUGAGAUUAUGGUUGUUACCUUUUUGUAGAUCAGUAUUUUUUUUUUGGGGUCAAAAAGCCUUUGUAUUUAGGUUUGUACGCAGGUUUUUUUUUGGUCUGGGUUUGGCUUAUUUCUUCAGUGUUUUGUUCGAUUUCGUACGGCUUAGGUCAUUGUUGUUGCAAAAAUGGUUUGGCAUUAGUGUGUGAAAUUUCUUGUAGAUAAUUUUUUUUGAAGGUCAGAAUGGAAAGGAUCUGGUUUGGAUUUAGGUUUAUUCAUAGGUUUUUUGGGUCUGUGUUUGGCCUCUCUCUUCAGUGUUUUGUUGGUUUUGGCUGAAGCUCGAUGAUAAUCAGUAGUGUUGGGAACCCCUUGCCUCCUUCCUCUUUGCCUAGGAAACACCAUUCUCUAGCAAGAAUAGCUCGUGGCUUACUUAAGUUUGAUUUCUUUUAAUUGAUAUCAGAGUUUAAGUUUUAGUUGUGGUAUUUCUCUUAUAGGUAUUGUCUCCAAUCUGGAAUCAAUAUUACUAUUGUGUACCUGUACCAAGAACAUACUUGUAUUAUAACUUAACCAAAAAAACAAUACAAAACAUUUUGAGUAGACUGGUGUUCAGGUUAAAGUCUUCAAAGAGCUCUUUCUUAGCUAUUUCGAAAAGUUGUUGUUCAGCAAGUUGAGUCCCAUUCUUGUUUGGACUGAAAAUGAAAAGGGAAGAUUGCAUCCAAGCGCACAUGAAGAGGGAGAGGACUUGUAUCCAUUUCUGAACACCUUGUACCAAAAUGAGCCUUCUGCCUUGCACUUAUUUAUUCUGUUUGAUUUCUUAUAUGUUAGAUUAUGGACCCAAAGAUGGAUUCAGGUAUUGUUCGUAGAUAUUAUUCCGAGGCAAUUGAUAGUGGUGCUACCCCAGUCCCUUUAAGUUCGGAUAGAACUGUAGAUGUCCAAUGUGUUAUUGCCAUCAUGGACUAUCUACUAGCAUGUGAGGUACAGUCUUUAUUUCAAAUUAGGAUUUGUAUUCCUUUGUUACUGUUCUUACUACUUACAAUCUUUCAUGGCAGGCAACGUGGCACAAGGGUCAUUCAUUGGCUCAAACAGUUUUCCCUUGUAUCUAUCUUCUGAAGCCCAAUAGAACAUCACCACAUGCAUUGUUGCAUUCUUAUUGCAAACUGUUGCCUAGAAAUCUGCGGUUGUAUAUUUUCCAUCAAUCAAUCCGUUUGGUCUGCUGUUUGGUUCGAAUCAAUCCGAUAGCCAGCAAUGUGAAUAAAAAUGAAGGGAAGGGCAGAAUUCAAUACCCAUAGAUUCACCAUCGGGUAAUGUUUGUUGCUCCCUAAUUUCCUAGGGAUCUCCAGUUCACUCUCAAAUGGAUGUCCUCCAUGCUGCACUUUAGAGGUACAUAAAGUUUCAAGCCUUUCCAUUUUCUCAUUCAUGUUUCCCCACCCAAUAUAAUUAGAACGACUAUGUAAUGAUUAUUCACUAUGAAGCACAGAUACUCUAUUUUGGCCUCCGUAUCAUGUAUCGGACACGUAUUGGAUACGGAUACGUUCCGGAUAUGUGUCUGAUACGUUUUUUAGAGUAUCCGGUUUUCAAAAUUAUUUUUUGGUAUCCGAUACGUUUUGAAUAUGCGCGGGGGUAAAUAUGUUACUUAAAAUAUAUGGGUUAUGAUUGUAAUUAUUAAUUUGUGACUAUAUAUACCAUUUUUUCCCCACAAUUCAAAGAAGACGAUGAUCAGAAGAAGACGAUCGACGAACGACUGUAAGUCUCUCUCAUCACUCUCUCUUGCCUCUCUUCUCUCUCGUCUCUCUCCUCUCUCUCUCCCUCUCGCUCCCUCUCGCUCCCUCUCUUGUCUCUUUACAGGUAUAUAUAUAUAUAUAUAUAUAUAUAUAUAUAUAUAUAUAUAUAUAUAUAUAUAUAUAUAUAUAUAUAUAUAUAUACGUAUAAUGUAAAUAUCUCUCUCUGUCAUCUCUCUCCCUCUCUCAUUUGUUUUAGAUUUUUUUUUAACAGUGCUAAACUGUCAUCUCUCUCCUUUGAGUUUAGGUUUUUUUUUUUAUAUUCAAUAAUGGAAUUUUUUAUAUUUUUUAUAUUCAACGUAUCCCCAAUGUACCGUGCUUCUUAGAUUAUUCAAUGUUAUCAUGUUUGACUCUGUAAUUACCUUGUUAGCCAUGUUAUGAUUAUACAAUUCAGUUCCACACGUGCGUGGUGACUAUGUAAUUAAAGGUGUACAUUACUGAAUUCAGUUGAGUGUGUCUUGAAUCGCUAGAUGUGUAUAGUAUGCAUGUGCUUUUGCUUAGCAAAAUCUGAACCUGAUACAUACCCACAUGCCCCUUUGGAUUGAGUAAUUUGGUGAGAAAUGAAAAGAAAGGAUUAGAGUUUGUCUCCAAAUCACUCAUUUAUUGAGUGAUAUUGAGUGAUUUGGUGAGAAAUGAAGAGAAAAGUACCAAAAUGAAAUUCUGAAUUAUUUCUUGACCAGACCAGUUGCUGCAAUAUUUGUCUCCAAUUCCUUGCCGCAUUCGGUCUUAUUUAAGGCAAACAUAUUAGGGCCUCAGUGGACUGCGACGCACGUAUUACAGACAGCUCUACCACUUUGUUUCAACUGUUCUGGUGAUAAAUUUUUCAUUAGGAAGAGUAAACUUUUGACCAUUGAUUUUGAUAGGGAUGUAAUGCUGUGUUAGUGACAUUGUCAAUUCUAUUUUCUCUGCGAAGGGCCUAGAUGAGGUUUUGAAGUUCUUUAAUGCUUUACUGCCUUGCCUUUCCUGAAGAAAAUUUGUUUUCUCAAGGUGUUAGUGUAGAGUUAAAAGAUUUUUUCAUCGAGAGACCUGUCUUAGACGACAUCACUUGCAUUUGACAUAUGACGAGUUUAUUGAGCUGCAGGUCAAAAAGCACUUACAGCUUCUGAAAUUACAUGUUUUUCAUUUCAUUCUGAGGUCAUUAGCAAUAGCGUAUUUUAUUGGCUUAUUUGAGUACAUGGCUUCUCUCUUCCAUAACCCAUCUCAGGAAUUUGGAUUCUUUAGGAACUAUCUUUUGCAUGGACUGCACCCCUAGCAAGAGAUAGCUCAUUCUAUCUCAGCCAGAGAAGUAAUUGCCUGUUCAUCCAGAGGGUUGACAGAACCUUCUACAUUGUUAAAUGCAAUCCUUCGGGAUGUUGUUAUCUGCUAUGAUGGCACAGUGAGGAAUGUUUGCAAUAAUUCAAUCAUUCAAUUUGAGUAUGAGACUAAGCCUGGAGCUAAGAAUAUUUUUGCUGCUGGUGAACCAGUUGGUGUGUUGGCUGCAACUCAAGAGAACGAUGCUAACAAGCUGAAAGAAGGAAUGUUUCUAACAGUGGUUUCCCCUCACUGUAACUAGACAGUCUUACUUAUCCCUUAGAUUGUCAAAUCCGAUGAUUUCGGUUACUUCAAAAGAAUCAGUUGGAAAAGUAAGCCUAAAUGAUAUUGCUGCCGGAUUCUUGAUUGAGUACGUGUUCAACCUGUUUGCUCUGUACUUCUGGAAAAAAAAAAAAAAACCAAUUCGCUAUUUAUACUUUAGUUCUCCUACAUAGGGAUGAAAAUGUCCUGCCUGUAGUUCAUACUUCAGAUAAGAAAAUUAGUUACUACUAUGCUAUGGGAUCUGUUUGAUUAUUCAACUUAAUUAUUUGAUAUACACAAUCCUAUGAAAUGUAUUUGUAGUGGCAACAUAGCAGAUCUAAUGUAGUGUUUGCAUUUGAAUUGGCUAUCCUAAUUCAUUUUCAUCAAAAAUCAAAGCUGAAUGGUUUGGUAACAUAGAAGAUCUAAUGAAGUGUUUGCAUUUGAAUUGGCUAUCCUGGGAAAUGUAUUUGUAGUGGUAACAAAGUUGAAUGGUUUGGUUCUAUUGUUUGGUUUUUGAUCAUCUUUUUGCUCUUUAAUAAUCUCUCUGUUCAGCUGCGAUUCAUAUGCAGAGUUCAGUUUUGGUGUUGUCCUCCUGGAGCUAAUUGCCAGCCCAAAAACUGUGGGCAAGUUUGGAGACGGAGUGGACAUAGUGAGGUGGGUCAAGAAGACAAUAUCAGAGCGUGCUCAAUGGGUACCCAGUAACAAGCAUCAUAAACCUGUUCAAGAUUGCUAUCAUGUGCGUUGUCAAGAGGCCUAUGAUCAGGGAAGUCGUGCACAUGAUCACCAAGGCAUUGCUUCUUGUCACGCUUUAGCAUUUUGAAGUUGCAAUGGUGUUUGUAAAACACUAUAAUCAGUAACUUGCAAGUUAUGAUAUGAGUAUAUGUUCAUUUGAUGUUGGAUGUUAAUUAAGCUUUGGAGUUCUUAUGUUUUGUUAAUUACAAUUUAAUGUUUUUUUUAUUUCGCUUCAAAUAGGUAUAUAUGCAGUUGAGUUCCUGGCAUUACAAAUUC